UGGCUCAGAGGUUAAAGCAUCUGCCUGCAAUGCAGGAGACCUGGGUUUGAUCCCCGG
rnacentral:tRNA from 1 species